CACUCCUACGGGAGGCAGCAGUGGGGAAUAUUGCACAUGGGCGCAAGCCUGAUGCAGCCAUGCCGCGUGUAUGGAAGAAGGCCUUCGGGUUGUAAAGUACUUUCAGCAGUGAGGAAGGUGGGUAUGUUAAUAGCAUAUUCAUUUGACGUUAGCUGCAGAAGAAGCACCGGCUAACUCCGUGCCAGCAGCCGCGGUAAUACGGAGGGUGCGAGCGUUAAUCGGAAUUACUGGGCGUAAAGCGCAUGCAGGUGGUUUGUUAAGUCAGAUGUGAAAAGCCCGGGGCUCAACCUCGGAAUUGCAUUUGAAACUGGCAAACUAGAGUACUGUAGAGGGGGUAGAAUUUCAGGUGUAGCGGUGAAAUGCGUAGAGAUCUGAAGGAAUACCGGUGGCGAAGGCGGCCCCCUGGACAGAUACUGACACUCAGAUGCGAAAGCGUGGGGAGCAAACAGGAUUAGAUACCCUGGUAG
rnacentral:rRNA from 1 species